UACGUAGGGUCCGAGCGUUGUCCGGAAUUACUGGGCGUAAAGAGCUCGUAGGUGGUUUGUCGCGUUGUUCGUGAAAACUCACAGCUUAACUGUGGGCGUGCGGGCGAUACGGGCAGACUGGAGUACUGCAGGGGAGACUGGAAUUCCUGGUGUAGCGGUGGAAUGCGCAGAUAUCAGGAGGAACACCGGUGGCGAAGGCGGGUCUCUGGACAGUUCCUGACACUGAGACACGAAAGCUAGGGGAGCGAAUGGG
rnacentral:rRNA from 1 species